GGGGGUGAAUGGGGUUCGACGGGAACGAUUGAUGUAAUGACAGCAGGUCGGAGUUAGUCGAUGGCUCCGUAAAAAUCGACUAAAAAAUAAACAACAAUAAUGAUUUUACUUCAAUGCAGAGUUUUAAAAUUCUAGGAUUGGGAAUGUUCUUGUUGGCUCUUCUUGGAAUAAAAAAUGGUUUUAAGGACUUUAGGAGUCUUAGAGAAAUGCCAAUAGCUGCUUAGAACAAACAAGUCGUAUUUUAUUUUGGGCGUCUGCUGUAAGAGCAAAACUACAAAGGGCAAGUUGGUUAUUGGCGAUUUGUGUCGUAGGUUCAAAAUGAAUGAAAGAGUAGCAGUUUAUAACGUGAUCUUGUCUGGAAGUAGCGUUGUAUGAUGAAGAAGUUCCAGAUUAAACCUGUAGCGGUCUUACUGAAACAUUUUCGGACGCGGGUUCGAUUCCCGCCACCUCCACUC
rnacentral:tmRNA from 1 species